rnacentral:rRNA from 1 species
CGAAGGGUGCAAGCGUUACUCGGAAUUACUGGGCGUAAAGCGUGCGUAGGUGGUUUGUUAAGUCUGUCGUGAAAUCCCCGGGCUCAACCUGGGAAUGGCGAUGGAUACUGGCAAGCUAGAGUGAGGUAGAGGAGAGUGGAAUUCCCGGUGUAGCAGUGAAAUGCGUAGAGAUCGGGAGGAACAUCAGUUGCGAAGGCGGCUCUCUGGACCAUCACUGACACUGAGGCACGAAAGCGUGGGGAGCAAACAGGAUUAGAUACCCUGGUAGUCCACGCCCUAAACGAUGCGAACUGGACGUUGGGCUCAAUUAGGAGCUCAGUGUCGAAGCUAACGCGUUAAGUUCGCCGCCUGGGGAGUACGGUCGCAAGACUG